CCUACGGGGUGCAGCAGUGAGGAAUAUUGGACAAUGGGUGGAAGCCUGAUCCAGCCAUCCCGCGUGCAGGAAGACGGCCCUAUGGGUUGUAAACUGCUUUUAUCUGGGGAUAAACCUACUUGCGUGUAAGUAGCUGAAGGUACCAGAAGAAUAAGCACCGGCUAACUCCGUGCCAGCAGCCGCGGUAAUACGGAGGGUGCAAGCGUUAUCCGGAUUUAUUGGGUUUAAAGGGUCCGUAGGCGGACUAGUAAGUCAGUGGUGAAAUCCGACAGCUUAACUGUCGAACUGCCAUUGAUACUGCUAGUCUUGAGUAAGGUUGAAGUGGCUGGAAUAAGUAGUGUAGCGGUGAAAUGCAUAGAUAUUACUUAGAACACCAAUUGCGAAGGCAGGUCACUAAGUCUUAACUGACGCUGAUGGACGGAAGCGUGGGGAGCGAACAGGAUUAGAUACCCGGGUAGUC
rnacentral:rRNA from 1 species